rnacentral:RNase_P_RNA from 1 species
UGAGCAAGCCAAGGUGGUUGCCUCGCGGCAACCCCCGGAUAACGCGCAGGCGGAUCUGUGGGGUUAAUGCCGUCGCGGGGAGGAAAGUCCGGGCUCCAAAGGAUAUUGCAUCCUGGUAAUGCAGGACAUCCUGGCCUGCCGGCCGGGAUAGGAUUAGAGCUACAGUGACGAUACCCGUUCUUGUGUUCUUUCAGGACGGGGGGUGAAACGAGCAAUCUCUGCAAGGAGCAAGGCCAAAUAGGAAGAGACACGGCGUUCGGCCGGACGAAGCGAUCCGCUUCGUAAAAAAGCUGCGGCUUUUUAAUAUCUUCGGGUAGGCUGCAAGAGUCCCUGACGCGAGUCGGGGAGUGAGUGAAAUAACCGCCUGUUCCGCCUGUAAAAAAUCGGGACACACAAAACCCGGCUUAUUGGCUUGCUCAUCAU